CCUACGGGAGGCAGCAGUGAGGAAUAUUGGUCAAUGGACGAGAGUCUGCACCAGCGAAGUAGCGUGAAGGAUGACUGCCCUAUGGGUUGUAAACUUCUUUUAUAUGGGAAUAAAAUGUUCCACGUGUGGGAGUUUGUAUGUACCAUAUGAAUAAGGAUCGGCUAACUCAGUGUCAGCAGUCGCGGUAAUAAGGAGGAUCCGAGCGUUAUCUGGAUUUAUUGGGUUUAAAGGGUGCGUAGGUGGAUUGUUAAGUAAGUUGUGAAAGUUUGCGGCUCAACCGUAAAAUUGCAGUUGAAACUGGCAUUCUUGAGUACAGUAGAGGUGGGCGGAAUGCGUGGUGUAGCGGUGAAAUGCUUAGAUAUCACGAAGAACUCCGAUUGCGAAGGCAGUUCACUGGACUGCAACUGACACUGAGGCUCGAAAGUGUGGGUAUCAAACAGGAUUAGAUACCCCUGUAGUC
rnacentral:rRNA from 1 species